GGGUUGUGAGGUUAAGCGACUAAGCGUACACGGUGGAUGCCCUGGCAGUCAGAGGCGAUGAAGGACGUGCUAAUCUGCGAAAAGCGUCGGUAAGGUGAUAUGAACCGUUAUAGCCGGCGAUGUCCGAAUGGGGAAACCCAGUGCAAUUCGUUGCACUAUCGUUAACUGAAUACAUAGGUUAACGAGGCGAACCGGGGGAACUGAAACAUCUAAGUACCCCGAGGAAAAGAAAUCAACCGAGAUUCCCCCAGUAGCGGCGAGCGAACGGGGAGCAGCCCAGAGUCUGAAUCAGCUUGUGUGUUAGUGGAACGGUCUGGAAAGUCCGACGGUACAGGGUGAUAGUCCCGUACACCAAAAUGCACAGGCUGUGAACUCGAAGAGUAGGGCGGGACACGUGGUAUCCUGUCUGAAUAUGGGGGGACCAUCCUCCAAGGCUAAAUACUCCUGACUGACCGAUAGUGAACCAGUACCGUGAGGGAAAGGCGAAAAGAACCCCGGCGAGGGGAGUGAAAAAGAACCUGAAACCGUGUACGUACAAGCAGUGGGAGCACCUUCGGGUGUGACUGCGUACCUUUUGUAUAAUGGGUCAGCGACUUAUAUUCUGUAGCAAGGUUAACCGUAUAGGGGAGCCGCAGGGAAACCGAGUCUUAACUGGGCGUUAAGUUGCAGGGUAUAGACCCGAAACCCGGUGAUCUAGCCAUGGGCAGGUUGAAGGUUGGGUAACACUAACUGGAGGACCGAACCGACUAAUGUUGAAAAAUUAGCGGAUGACUUGUGGCUGGGGGUGAAAGGCCAAUCAAACCGGGAGAUAGCUGGUUCUCCCCGAAAGCUAUUUAGGUAGCGCCUCGUGAACUCAUCUUCGGGGGUAGAGCACUGUUUCGGCUAGGGGGUCAUCCCGACUUACCAACCCGAUGCAAACUACGAAUACCGAAGAAUGUUAUCACGGGAGACACACGGCGGGUGCUAACGUCCGUCGUGAAGAGGGAAACAACCCAGACCGCCAGCUAAGGUCCCAAAGUCAUGGUUAAGUGGGAAACGAUGUGGGAAGGCACAGACAGCCAGGAUGUUGGCUUAGAAGCAGCCAUCAUUUAAAGAAAGCGUAAUAGCUCACUGGUCGAGUCGGCCUGCGCGGAAGAUGUAACGGGGCUAAACCAUGCACCGAAGCUGCGGCAGCGACACUAUGUGUUGUUGGGUAGGGGAGCGUUCUGUAAGCCUGCGAAGGUGACCUGUGAGGGUUGCUGGAGGUAUCAGAAGUGCGAAUGCUGACAUAAGUAACGAUAAAGCGGGUGAAAAGCCCGCUCGCCGGAAGACCAAGGGUUCCUGUCCAACGUUAAUCGGGGCAGGGUGAGUCGACCCCUAAGGCGAGGCCGAAAGGCGUAGUCGAUGGGAAACAGGUUAAUAUUCCUGUACUUGGUGUUACUGCGAASGGGSACGGAGAAGGCUAUGUUAGCCGGGCGACGGUUGUCCCGGUUUAAGCAUGUAGGCUGAUUGUCCAGGCAAAUCCGGAUAAUCAAGGCUGAGGUGUGAUGACGAGGCACUACGGUGCUGAAGUAACAAAUGCCCUGCUUCCAGGAAAAGCCUCUAAGCAUCAGGUAACAUCAAAUCGUACCCCAAACCGACACAGGUGGUCAGGUAGAGAAUACCAAGGCGCUUGAGAGAACUCGGGUGAAGGAACUAGGCAAAAUGGUGCCGUAACUUCGGGAGAAGGCACGCUGGUGUGUAGGUGAAGUCCCUGCGGAUGGAGCUGAGACCAGUCGAAGAUACCAGCUGGCUGCAACUGUUUAUUAAAAACACAGCACUGUGCAAACACGAAAGUGGACGUAUACGGUGUGACGCCUGCCCGGUGCCGGAAGGUUAAUUGAUGGGGUUAUCCGUAAGGAGAAGCUCUUGAUCGAAGCCCCGGUAAACGGCGGCCGUAACUAUAACGGUCCUAAGGUAGCGAAAUUCCUUGUCGGGUAAGUUCCGACCUGCACGAAUGGCGUAAUGAUGGCCAGGCUGUCUCCACCCGAGACUCAGUGAAAUUGAACUCGCUGUGAAGAUGCAGUGUACCCGCGGCAAGACGGAAAGACCCCGUGAACCUUUACUAUAGCUUGACACUGAACAUUGAGCCUUGAUGUGUAGGAUAGGUGGGAGGCUUUGAAGCGUGGACGCCAGUCUGCGUGGAGCCAACCUUGAAAUACCACCCUUUAAUGUUUGAUGUUCUAACGUUGGCCCCUGACCGGGGUUGCGGACAGUGUCUGGUGGGUAGUUUGACUGGGGCGGUCUCCUCCCAAAGCGUAACGGAGGAGCACGAAGGUUAGCUAAUCCUGGUCGGACAUCAGGAGGUUAGUGCAAUGGCAUAAGCUAGCUUGACUGCGAGCGUGACGGCGCGAGCAGGUGCGAAAGCAGGUCAUAGUGAUCCGGUGGUUCUGAAUGGAAGGGCCAUCGCUCAACGGAUAAAAGGUACUCCGGGGAUAACAGGCUGAUACCGCCCAAGAGUUCAUAUCGACGGCGGUGUUUGGCACCUCGAUGUCGGCUCAUCACAUCCUGGGGCUGAAGUAGGUCCCAAGGGUAUGGCUGUUCGCCAUUUAAAGUGGUACGCGAGCUGGGUUUAGAACGUCGUGAGACAGUUCGGUCCCUAUCUGCCGUGGGCGCUGGAGAAUUGAGGGGGGCUGCUCCUAGUACGAGAGGACCGGAGUGGACGCAUCACUGGUGUUCGGGUUGUCAUGCCAAUGGCACUGCCCGGUAGCUAAAUGCGGAAGAGAUAAGUGCUGAAAGCAUCUAAGCACGAAACUUGCCCCGAGAUGAGUUCUCCCUGAGACUAUAAGUCUCCUGAAGGAACGUUAAAGACGAUGACGUUGAUAGGCCGGGUGUGUAAGCGCAGCGAUGCGUUGAGCUAACCGGUACUAAUGAACCGUGAGGCUUAACCUUACAACGCCGAAG
rnacentral:rRNA from 1 species